rnacentral:rRNA from 1 species
UGGGGAAUAUUGCACAAUGGGCGAAAGCCUGAUGCAGCGACGCCGCGUGAGGGAUGACGGCCUUCGGGUUGUAAACCUCUUUCAGCAGGGAAGAAGCGAAAGUGACGGUACCUGCAGAAGAAGCGCCGGCUAACUACGUGCCAGCAGCCGCGGUAAUACGUAGGGCGCAAGCGUUGUCCGGAAUUAUUGGGCGUAAAGAGCUCGUAGGCGGUUUGUCGCGUCUGCUGUGAAAGCCCGGGGCUCAACCCCGGGUCUGCAGUGGGUACGGGCAGACUAGAGUGCAGUAGGGGAGACUGGAAUUCCUGGUGUAGCGGUGAAAUGCGCAGAUAUCAGGAGGAACACCGAUGGCGAAGGCAGGUCUCUGGGCUGUAACUGACGCUGAGGAGCGAAAGCAUGGGGAGCGAACAGGAUUAGAUACCCUGGUAGUCCAUGCCGUAAACGUUGGGCACUAGGUGUGGGGGACAUUCCACGUUUUCCGCGCCGUAGCUAACGCAUUAAGUGCCCCGCCUGGGGAGUACGGCCGCAAGGCUAAAACUCAAAGGAAUUGACGGGGGCCCGCACAAGCGGCGGAGCAUGCGGAUUAAUUCGAUGCAACGCGAAGAACCUUACCAAGGCUUGACAUGGACCGGACCGCCGCAGAAAUGCGGUUUCCCUUCGGGGCCGGUUUACAGGUGGUGCAUGGUUGUCGUCAGCUCGUGUCGUGAGAUGUUGGGUU